AUUGAACGCUGGCGGCAUGCCUUACACAUGCAAGUCGAACGGCAGCACGGGAGCAAUCCUGGUGGCGAGUGGCGAACGGGUGAGUAAUAUAUCGGAACGUGCCCAGUCGUGGGGAUAACGUAGCGAAAGCUACGCUAAUACCGCAUACGAUCUAUGGAUGAAAGCGGGGGAUCGCAAGACCUCGCGCGAUUGGAGCGGCCGAUAUCAGAUUAGGUAGUUGGUGAGGUAAAGGCUCACCAAGCCGACGAUCUGUAGCUGGUCUGAGAGGACGACCAGCCACACUGGGACUGAGACACGGCCCAGACUCCUACGGGAGGCAGCAGUGGGGAAUUUUGGACAAUGGGCGCAAGCCUGAUCCAGCAAUGCCGCGUGCAGGAUGAAGGCCUUCGGUUGGUUAACGUA
rnacentral:rRNA from 1 species